rnacentral:tRNA from 1 species
GGUUUUGGCUCAGUGGUAAAGUGCUUGCCUGGCAUGUGUGAGGCACUGGGUUCGAUACUCAGCACCA